UACGUAGGGUGCAAGCGUUAAUCGGAAUUACUGGGCGUAAAGCGUGCGCAGGCGGUUGUGCAAGACAGAUGUGAAAUCCCCGGGCUUAACCUGGGAAUUGCAUUUGUGACUGCACGGCUAGAGUGUGUCAGAGGGGGGUAGAAUUCCACGUGUAGCAGUGAAAUGCGUAGAGAUGUGGAGGAAUACCGAUGGCGAAGGCAGCCCCCUGGGCUAGCACUGACGCUCAGGCACGAAAGCGUGGGGAGCAAACAGG
rnacentral:rRNA from 1 species